UGGGGAAUAUUGGACAAUGGGCGCAAGCCUGAUCCAGCCAUGCCGCGUGAGUGAUGAAGGCCCUAGGGUUUUAAAGCUCUUUCACCGGUGCAGAUAAUGACGGUAACCGGAGAAGAAGCCCCGGCUAACUUCGUGCCAGCAGCCGCGGUAAUACGAAGGGUGCUAGCGUUGUUCGGAUUUACUGGGCGUAAAGCGCACGUAGGCGGACUUUUAAGUCAGGGGUGAAAUCCCGGGGCUCAACCCCGGAACUGCCUUUGAUACUGGAAGUCUGGAGUAUGGUAGAGGUGGGUGGAAUUGCGAGUGGAGAGGUGAAAUUCGUAGAUAUUAGGAGGAAAACCAGGGGCGAAGGAGGCUCACUGGACAAGUACUGACGCUGAGGUGAGAAAGCGGGGAGAGCAAACAGG
rnacentral:rRNA from 1 species